AAAACACAGUUCCUUAAUCCCGUUUUUCGUGCUUCCAUACCAAUUGUUUGAAGUGGAAUCUCAUUGUUUUGUGGUAUUCUGCUAUGCAAAUGUGUUCUUGUACAUUAGCUGGAGCGCUUAUAAUUGAAUAGGAUUGAAGAGUUGCGAAAUACCCUUAGCUAGCUGUGUCUAGCUGCCUGCAUUUAAAUUAAUUUAUCUGUCAAAAUGAUGCUAAUCAAGAGGAAUGUUGAUACUGAAAAUGCUUUUCAAUCCAUCUUUAUUGUCUCACAAUUGCUCACACAAGGAAGCGUAGUUUUAGUUUAAGAUGUUAUGAUGGAUGUCGGAACAAGAAAUGGCUUAACUUAUUCUUGUGGUUCAAAGAGUUGAUCACAAAAAGACAUUUCAAUUAACAGACACGUUAUGCAAAGUUUGAACAUUUCCCGACCGAUGCAGAUCCCCUUUUGAGAAAAACAUUUUUCCAGUAAACAAUAAUACGUUCCUUGAAUAAUUUCAAACAGAAAUCAAUGGCAUUUCAGAAGCAGCAAGAGUGUGAUCAAAUGAAAAUAUGAAGUUAA
rnacentral:misc_RNA from 1 species